ACUGUCAGGCUUCCGUAGGUGACCUGCGGAAGGAUCAUUACCGAGUGAGGGCCCUCUGGGUCCAACCUCCCACCCGUGUUUAUUUACCUUGUUGCUUCGGCGAGCCUGCCUUUUGGCUGCCGGGGGACGUCAGUCCCCGGGUCCGUGCUCGCCGGAGACACCUUAGAACUCUGUCUGAAGAUUGUAGUCUGAGAUUAAAUAUAAAUUAUUUAAAACUUUCAACAACGGAUCUCUUGGUUCCGGCAUCGAUGAAGAACGCAGCGAAAUGCGAUACGUAAUGUGAAUUGCAGAAUUCAGUGAAUCAUCGAGUCUUUGAACGCACAUUGCGCCCUCUGGUAUUCCGGAGGGCAUGCCUGUCCGAGCGUCAUUGCUGCCCUCAAGCACGGCUUGUGUGUUGGGCCCCGUCCUCCUUCCGGGGGACGGGUCCGAAAGGCAGCGGCGGCACCGCGUCCGGUCCUCAAGCGUAUGGGGCUUUGUCACUCGCUUUGUAGGCCUGGCCGGCGCUUGCCGAUCAACCAAACUUUUUAUCAGGUUGACCUCGGAUCAGGUAGGGAUACCCGCUGAACUUAAGCAUACUA
rnacentral:rRNA from 1 species